UGGGGAAUAUUGCACAAUGGGCGCAAGCCUGAUGCAGCCAUGCCGCGUGUGUGAAGAAGGCCUUCGGGUUGUAAAGCGCUUUCAGCGGGGAGGAAGGCGUUAAGGUUAAUAACCUUGGCGAUUGACGUUACCCGCAGAAGAAGCACCGGCUAACUCCGUGCCAGCAGCCGCGGUAAUACGGAGGGUGCAAGCGUUAAUCGGAAUUACUGGGCGUAAAGCGCACGCAGGCGGUCUGUCAAGUCGGAUGUGAAAUCCCCGGGCUCAACCUGGGAACUGCAUUCGAAACUGGCAGGCUAGAGUCUUGUAGAGGGGGGUAGAAUUCCAGGUGUAGCGGUGAAAGGCGUAGAGAUCUGGAGGAAUACCGGUGGCGAAGGCGGCCCCCUGGACGAAGACUGACGCUCAGGUGCGAAAGCGUGGGGAGCAAACAGG
rnacentral:rRNA from 1 species